CUUGAAUUCCUGCACUCAAGGGAUUUUCCUGCCCUGGCCUCCCAAAGUAUUGGUAUUACAGGCAUGAGCUAUUGUGCCCACCGUCUCUGGUUCUUAACCUUCUGCCUCCCUCUUCCAGUUUUAAAGAAUGCUUGUAAUUACAUGGGCUCUCCUAGAUACUCCAGGAUAAUCUUGUUUUAAGGUCAGCUGAUGAGCAACAUUAAUUUUAUCUGCACUCUUAAUUCCCCCUUCCUAUGUAAUUGUGCUGUGUAACAUAGGACAUGAGCAAUUGGUGGCGGCGGUGGGGGUUAUUACUUUGGCCACCACAGUAACUAUUUUAUGCCAGGUACUCAGCUAAGCAUUGGUGAAUUAAGCAUGAAUAACACACACUCCCUAAUCUCCAUCCAUUCAUGGGAGGAGCACCUCACCUGCCAUGCUCCUGAGAAUCUCGGCAGUCAAAGAAGUCUUCUAUGAGGAGGUGAUGCCAAAGCGGACAAGUGACAGAGGAGUCGAAGCUAGCUAGGAAGAGAGUAGAGGUUUAAGGGGAAGCAUAUUAUAAGCAGAGGAUAUCACCCACUUCAGAGACUCCCAGAGGAGAAGGAGUGGGCGUUCAAGGGGCAGAUGAAGCUCAGUUGGACUCCAUAGCAGAUGAAAUGGAGAGGGGCAAGCAGUGAGGCUGCCUUGCAAGGCAGGGCAGAGCAGGGGCUGUUAAGGAGUUUGGACUUAAUCCCUGAGGCAAGGAGAAGUGAUGUAAAUGGGGGAGUAACAUGAUGAGAUUCAUGGAUUAGAG
rnacentral:lncRNA from 1 species